GUCUUGUAACACGGACCAAGGAGUCUAACAUGUAUGCGAGUUGGUGGGUGGAAAACCCAUGAAGCGCAAGUAACCUGACUGGUGGGAGGGCCUGUGCCCGCACCAUCGACCGACCAUGAUCUUCUGUGAAAGGUUUGAGUACGAGCAUACCUGUUGGGACCCGAAAGAUGGUGAACUAUGCCUGAGCAGGGCGAAGCCAGAGGAAACUCUGGUGGAGGCUCGUAGAUGUGCUGACGUGCAAAUCGCUUUUCGGACUUGGGUAUAGGGGCGAAAGACUAA
rnacentral:rRNA from 1 species